rnacentral:rRNA from 1 species
GACGAACGCUGGCGGCGUGCUUAACACAUGCAAGUCGAACGGAAAGGCCUCUUUCGGGGGGUACUCGAGUGGCGAACGGGUGAGUAACACGUGAGUAACCUGCCCUUGACUUUGGGAUAACUUCCGGAAACUGGGGCUAAUACCUGAUAGGAGCUCCUGCUGCAUGGUUGGGGUUGGAAAGUUUCGGCGGUUGGGGAUGGACUCGCGGCUUAUCAGCUUGUUGGUGGGGUAGUGGCUUACCAAGGCUUUGACGGGUAGCCGGCCUGAGAGGGUGACCGGCCACAUUGGGACUGAGAAAGGAGCCAGACUCCUACGGGAGGCAGCAGUGGGGAAUAUUGCGCGAUGGGUGGAAGCCUGAUGCAGCAACGCCGUGUGCGGGAUGACGGCCUUCGGGUUGUAAACCGCUUUCGCUCAUGACGAAGCUUUGUGUGACGGUAGUGGGGAAAGAAGCACCGGCUAACUACGU